rnacentral:rRNA from 1 species
AUUGAACGCUGGCGGCAUGCCUUACACAUGCAAGUCGAACGGUAACAGGUCUUCGGAUGCUGACGAGUGGCGAACGGGUGAGUAAUACAUCGGAACGUGCCCGAUCGUGGGGGAUAACGAAGCGAAAGCUUUGCUAAUACCGCAUAAGAUCUACGGAUGAAAGCAGGGGACCGCAAGGCCUUGCGCGAACGGAGCGGCCGAUGGCAGAUUAGGUAGUUGGUGGGAUAAAAGCUUACCAAGCCGACGAUCUGUAGCUGGUCUGAGAGGACGACCAGCCACACUGGGACUGAGACACGGCCCAGACUCCUACGGGAGGCAGCAGUGGGGAAUUUUGGACAAUGGGCGAAAGCCUGAUCCAGCCAUGCCGCGUGCAGGAUGAAGGCCUUCGGGUUGUAAACUGCUUUUGUACGGAACGAAAAGGCUCUUUCUAAUAAAGGGGGCUCAUGACGGUACCGUAAGAAUAAGCACCGGCUAACUACGUGCCAGCCGCCGCGGUAAUAC